AUUGAACGCUGGCGGCAUGCCUUACACAUGCAAGUCGAACGGUAACAGGUCUUCGGAUGCUGACGAGUGGCGAACGGGUGAGUAAUACAUCGGAACGUGCCCGAUCGUAGGGGAUAACGAAGCGAAAGCUUUGCUAAUACCGCAUAAGAUCUACGGAUGAAAGCAGGGGACCGCAAGGCCUUGCGCGAACGGAGCGGCCGAUGGCAGAUUAGGUAGUUGGUGGGAUAAAAGCUUACCAAGCCGACGAUCUGUAGCUGGGCUGAGAGGACGACCAGCCACACUGGGACUGAGACACGGCCCAGACUCCUACGGGAGGCAGCAGUGGGGAAUUUUGGACAAUGGGCGAAAGCCUGAUCCAGCCAUGCCGCGUGCAGGAUGAAGGCCUUCGGGUUGUAAACUGCUUUUGUACGGAACGAAAAGACUCUUUCUAAUAAAGAGGGUCCAUGACGGUACCGUAAGAAUAAGCACCGGCUAACUACGUGCCAGCCGCCGCCGUAACAC
rnacentral:rRNA from 1 species